rnacentral:rRNA from 1 species
GACGAACGCUGGCGGCGUGCCUAAUACAUGCAAGUCGAACGCAUUUUCUUUCACCGUUGCUUGCUACCCCGCGAGAAACUGAGUGGCGAACGGGUUAGUAACACGUGCGUAACCUGCCCGUCAGCGUGGGAUAACAGUUGGAUACAGGUGCUUAUCCUGCCUAAUUCAAUUUACCGCAUGGUCGAUCGUUGAAACGCGCGUUUGCGUCACAUAUGGAUGGACCCGGGGUGCAUUAGCUAGUCGGUGGGGUAACGGCCUACCUAGGCUGCGAUGCAUAGCCGGCCUGAGAGGGUGAUCGGCCACACUGGAACUGAGACACGGCCCAGACUCCUACGGGAGGCAACAGUGGGGAAUAUUGGACAAUGGGCGCAAGUCUGAUGGAGCAAGGCCGCGUGUAUGAAGAAGGUCUUCGGGUUGUAAAACACUUUUAGUGGGAAAGAAGAGAGUAAAGUUGGGAACUUUACUCCUUGACGGUACCCGAAGAAGAAGCACCGGCUAACUCCGUG